GGAUGGAGCAGUCUGGUAGCUCGUCGGGCUCAUAACCCGAAGGUCGUAGGUUCAAAUCCUGGGGUUCA
rnacentral:tRNA from 1 species